CCUACGGGAGGCAGCAGUGAGGAAUAUUGGUCAAUGGACGCAAGCCUGAACCAGCCAUGCCGCGUGCAGGAUGACGGCCCUAUGAGUUGUAAACUGCUUUUGUACGAGAGUAAACCCCGACACGUGUGCCGGGUUGAAAGUACCGUACGAAUAAGGAUCGGCUAACUCCGUGCCAGCAGCCGCGGUAAUACGGAGGAUCCGAGCGUUAUCCGGAUUUAUUGGGUUUAAAGGGUGCGUAGGUGGGUUGAUAAGUUAGAGGUGAAAUGUCGGGGCUCAACCCCGAAAUUGCAAUUGAUACUGGUAGGCUAGAGAAUAGUGGCGGUAGGCGGAAUGUAUGGUGUAGCGGUGAAAUGCUUAGAGAUCAUACAGAACACCGAUGGCGAAGGCAGCUUACCAAACUACAACUGACGUUGAGGCACGAAAGCGUGGGUAGCAAACAGGAUUAGAUACCCUAGUAGUC
rnacentral:rRNA from 1 species